rnacentral:rRNA from 1 species
GGUUAAGCGACUAAGCGUACACGGUGGAUGCCCUGGCAGUCAGAGGCGAUGAAGGACGUGCUAAUCUGCGAUAAGCGUCGGUAAGGUGAUAUGAACCGUUAUAACCGGCGAUUUCCGAAUGGGGAAACCCAGUGUGAUUCGUCACACUAUCAUUAACUGAAUCCAUAGGUUAAUGAGGCGAACCGGGGGAACUGAAACAUCUAAGUACCCCGAGGAAAAGAAAUCAACCGAGAUUCCCCCAGUAGCGGCGAGCGAACGGGGAGCAGCCCAGAGCCUGAAUCAGUGUGUGUGUUAGUGGAAGCGUCUGGAAAGGCGCGCGAUACAGGGUGACAGCCCCGUACACAAAAAUGCACAUACUGUGAGCUCGAUGAGUAGGGCGGGACACGUGGUAUCCUGUCUGAAUAUGGGGGGACCAUCCUCCAAGGCUAAAUACUCCUGACUGACCGAUAGUGAACCAGUACCGUGAGGGAAAGGCGAAAAGAACCCCGGCGAGGGGAGUGAAAAAGAACCUGAAACCGUGUACGUACAAGCAGUGGGAGCCUCUUUAUGGGGUGACUGCGUACCUUUUGUAUAAUGGGUCAGCGACUUAUAUUCUGUAGCAAGGUUAACCGAAUAGGGGAGCCGAAGGGAAACCGAGUCUUAACUGGGCGUUAAGUUGCAGGGUAUAGACCCGAAACCCGGUGAUCUAGCCAUGGGCAGGUUGAAGGUUGGGUAACACUAACUGGAGGACCGAACCGACUAAUGUUGAAAAAUUAGCGGAUGACUUGUGGCUGGGGGUGAAAGGCCAAUCAAACCGGGAGAUAGCUGGUUCUCCCCGAAAGCUAUUUAGGUAGCGCCUCGUGAAUUCAUCUCCGGGGGUAGAGCACUGUUUCGGCAAGGGGGUCAUCCCGACUUACCAACCCGAUGCAAACUGCGAAUACCGGAGAAUGUUAUCACGGGAGACACACGGCGGGUGCUAACGUCCGUCGUGAAGAGGGAAACAACCCAGACCGCCAGCUAAGGUCCCAAAGUCAUGGUUAAGUGGGAAACGAUGUGGGAAGGCCCAGACAGCCAGGAUGUUGGCUUAGAAGCAGCCAUCAUUUAAAGAAAGCGUAAUAGCUCACUGGUCGAGUCGGCCUGCGCGGAAGAUGUAACGGGGCUAAACCAUGCACCGAAGCUGCGGCAGCGACGCUUAUGCGUUGUUGGGUAGGGGAGCGUUCUGUAAGCCUGUGAAGGUGUACUGUGAGGUAUGCUGGAGGUAUCAGAA